rnacentral:rRNA from 1 species
AAUGAACGCUGGCGGCAGGCCUAAAACAUGCAAGUCGAACGCCCUAGCAAUAGGGAGUGGCGCACGGGUGAGUAACAUGUGGGAAUAUGCCUUUUGGUACGGAACAACGUUUGGAAACGAACGCUAAUACCGUAUGGUCCCUCCGGGGUAAAGAUUUAUCGCCAAAAGAUUAGCCCGCACUAGAUUAGCUAGUUGGUAAGGUAAUGGCUUACCAAGGCGACGAUCUAUAGCUGUUCUGAGAGGAAGAUCAGCCACACUGGGACUGAGACACGGCCCAGACUCCUACGGGAGGCAGCAGUUAGGAAUAUUCGACAAUGGGCGCAAGCCUGAUCCAGCCAUGCCGCGUGAGUGAUGAAGGCCUUCGGGUUGUAAAGCUCUUUAGCCGACGAAUAUAAUGACUGUAGUCGGAGAAUAAGCCCCGGCUAACUUCGUGCCAGCAGCCGCGGUAAAAC